rnacentral:piRNA from 1 species
UUUAUCACAGCAUAUUAGGACACUGGG